rnacentral:tRNA from 1 species
AGCCCUGAAGUGUUUAUCAUGUUGAAUUGCAAAUUCUAAGAAGCAGCUUCAAUUCUGCCGGGGCUU